rnacentral:rRNA from 1 species
AUUGAACGCUGGCGGGAGGCCUAACACAUGCAAGUCGAGCGAGCGGCGGACGGGUGAGUAAUGUAUGGGGACUGCCCGAUAGAGGGGGAUAACUACUGGAAACGGUGGCUAAUACCGCAUACUAUUGGAAAACCCAUAUGGGAUUAGCUAGUUGGUGGGGUAAAGGCUCACCAAGGCAACGAUCCCUAGCUGGUCUGAGAGGAUGAUCAGCCACACUGGGACGGAGACACGGCCCAGACUCCUACGGAGGCAGCAGUGGGGAAUAUUGGACAAUGGGGGCAACCCUGAUUCAGCCAUGCCGCGUGUAUGAAGAAGGCCUUAGGGUUGUAAAGUACGUUCGGCGGAGAAGCGUUACCCGCAGAAGAAGCACCGGCUAACUCCGUGCCAGCAGCCGCGGUAAUAC